ACGUACACUCCUGCGGGAGGCAGCAGUGAGGAAUAUUGGACAAUGGGUGGAAGCCUGAUCCAGCCAUCCCGCGUGCAGGAAGACGGCCCUAUGGGUUGUAAACUGCUUUUAUCUGGGGAUAAACCUACUUACGUGUAAGUAGCUGAAGGUACCAGAAGAAUAAGCACCGGCUAACUCCGUGCCAGCAGCCGCGGUAAUACGGAGGGUGCAAGCGUUAUCCGGAUUUAUUGGGUUUAAAGGGUCCGUAGGCGGACUGAUAAGUCAGUGGUGAAAUCCGACAGCUUAACUGUCGAACUGCCAUUGAUACUGUUAGUCUUGAGUAAGGUUGAAGUGGCUGGAAUAAGUAGUGUAGCGGUGAAAUGCAUAGAUAUUACUUAGAACACCAAUUGCGAAGGCAGGUCACUAAGUCUUAACUGACGCUGAUGGACGAAAGCGUGGGGAGCGAACAGGAUUAGAAACCCCAGUAGUCCCAU
rnacentral:rRNA from 1 species